rnacentral:rRNA from 1 species
UACAGAGGGUGCAAGCGUUGUUCGGAUUUACUGGGCGUAAAGCGCGCGCAGGUGGGUGAACAAGUCGGAAGUGAAAUCUUGAGGCUCAACCUCGAGGCUGCUCCCGAAACUGUUCGCCUAGGGACUGGUAGAGGCUGGUAGAAUUCCCGGUGUAGCGGUGGAAUGCGUAGAGAUCGGGAAGAAUACCUGUGGCGAAGGCGGCCAGCUGGGCCAGAUCCGACACUGAGGCGCGAAAGCGUGGGGAGCAAACAGG